GGGGCUGGGGCUCAGUGGUAGAGCACUUGCCUACCAUGCGUGAGGCACUGAGUUCAAUCCUCAGCACCA
rnacentral:tRNA from 1 species